rnacentral:rRNA from 1 species
AGUGAACGCUGGCGGUAGGCCUAACACAUGCAAGUCGAACGGCAGCACAGUAAGAGCUUGCUCUUACGGGUGGCGAGUGGCGGACGGGUGAGGAAUACAUCGGAAUCUACUUUUUCGUGGGGGAUAACGUAGGGAAACUUACGCUAAUACCGCAUACGACCUACGGGUGAAAGCAGGGGAUCUUCGGCCCUUGCGCGAUUGAAUGAGCCGAUGUCGGAUUAGCUAGUUGGCGGGGUAAAGGCCCACCAAGGCGACGAUCCGUAGCUGGUCUGAGAGGAUGAUCAGCCACACUGGAACUGAGACACGGUCCAGACUCCUACGGGAGGCAGCAGUGGGGAAUAUUGGACAAUGGGCGCAAGCCUGAUCCAGCCAUACCGCGUGGGUGAAGAAGGCCUUCGGGUGGUAAAGCCCUUUUGUUGGGAAAGAAAAGCAGCAGGUUAAUACCCCGCUGUUCUGACGGUACCCAAAGAAUAAGCACCGGCUAACUUCGUG